AUACGUAGGUGGCAAGCGUUGUCCGGAAUUAUUGGGCGUAAAGCGCAUGUAGGCGGUGCCUUAAGUCUGUCGUGAAACUGCGGGGCUCAGCCCCGUAUGGCGAUGGAAACUGGGUUACUUGAGUGCAGGAGAGGAAAGGGGAACUCCCAGUGGAGCGGUGAAAUGCGUAGAUAUUGGGAAGAACACCGGUGGCGAAGGCGCCUUUCUGGACUGUGUCUGACGCUGAGAUGCGAAAGCCAGGGUAGCGAACGGGAUUAGAUACCCCGGUAGUCCUGGCCGUAAACGAUGGGUACUAGGUGUGGGAGGUAUCGACCCCUUCCGUGCCGGAGUUAACGCAAUAAGUACCCCGCCUGGGGAGUACGGCCGCAAGGCUUAAACUCAAAGGAAUUGACGGGG
rnacentral:rRNA from 1 species